rnacentral:rRNA from 1 species
UGGGGAAUAUUGGACAAUGGGCGAAAGCCUGAUCCAGCAAUGCCGCGUGAGUGAUGAAGGCCUUAGGGUUGUAAAGCUCUUUUACCCGGGAAGAUAAUGACUGUACCGGGAGAAUAAGCUCCGGCUAACUCCGUGCCAGCAGCCGCGGUAAUACGGAGGGAGCUAGCGUUGUUCGGAAUUACUGGGCGUAAAGCGCACGUAGGCGGCUUUGUAAGUUAGAGGUGAAAGCCUGGUGCUCAACACCAGAACUGCCUUUAAGACUGCAUCGCUUGAAUCAUGGAGAGGCGGGUGGAAUUCCGAGUGUAGAGGUGAAAUUCGUAGAUAUUCGGAAGAACACCAGUGGCGAAGGCGGCCCGCUGGACAUGUAUUGACGCUGAGGUGCGAAAGCGUGGGGAGCAAACAG